AAUUUGAAACACCGGUUCCCGUACGAACACCGCAGUUAAGCAACAUUGAGCCUGGUAGGUAUCUAGAUGGGUUACCGCUUGAAAAAUACCAGGUGUUGUAAG